rfam:Ovis aries breed Texel chromosome 2, whole genome shotgun sequence.
UCCCCGGUGGUCCAGUGGUUAGGACUCUGUGCUUCCACUGCAGGGACCCAAGUUUGCUCCCUGGUCAGGGAA